UCCUCCAAGGAUCUCUCAGUUGGUAAAGCAUUAGACUCUUCAUCUCAAGGUUGUGGGUUCGAGUCCCACGUUGGGAA